rnacentral:rRNA from 1 species
UACGAGGGGGGCGAGCGUUGUUCGGAAUUAUUGGGCGUAAAGGGCGCGUAGGCGGUGCGGUAAGUCACCUGUGAAACCUCUGGGCUCAACUCAGAGCCUGCAGGCGAAACUGCCGUGCUGGAGUGUGGGAGAGGUGCGUGGAAUUCCCGGUGUAGCGGUGAAAUGCGUAGAUAUUCGGAAGAACACCAGUGGCGAAGGCGACUUACUGGACACAUAUUGACGCUGAGGUGCGAAAGCGUGGGGAGCAAACAGG